rnacentral:rRNA from 1 species
UGGGGAAUUUUGGACAAUGGGCGAAAGCCUGAUCCAGCAAUGCCGCGUGUGUGAAGAAGGCCUUCGGGUUGUAAAGCACUUUUGUCCGGAAAGAAAUCCUUGGCUCUAAUACAGUCGGGGGAUGACGGUACCGGAAGAAUAAGCACCGGCUAACUACGUGCCAGCAGCCGCGGUAAUACGUAGGGUGCAAGCGUUAAUCGGAAUUACUGGGCGUAAAGCGUGCGCAGGCGGUUUGCUAAGACCGAUGUGAAAUCCCCGGGCUCAACCUGGGAACUGCAUUGGUGACUGGCAGGCUAGAGUAUGGCAGAGGGGGGUAGAAUUCCACGUGUAGCAGUGAAAUGCGUAGAGAUGUGGAGGAAUACCGAUGGCGAAGGCAGCCCCCUGGGCCAAAUACUGACGCUCAUGCACGAAAGCGAGGGGAGCAAACAGGAUUAGAUACCCUGGUAGUCCACGCCCUAAACGAUGUCAACUAGUUGUCGGGUCUUCAUUGACUUGGUAACGUAGCUAACGCGUGAAGUUGACCGCCUGGGGAGUACGGUCGCAAGAUUAAAACUCAAAUGAAUUGACGGGGUCAUAGCUGUUUCC